CUGUGAUUGCAUAUGAUUUGGGAUCACCAGAAAGGUCAUCUGUGCCAUCAGAAGUAAUAGUUAAUGUUGUCAGGAACCAAAAUCCACCAGUUUAUACUCGUGCCAGCACACAAAAUAUUGUCAGCAUUAACAGAACUCAGACGGUCAAUCAAGAAUUUUACCAAACUGUGUGCACAGAUAAUGAUAUUUUUCCAUUUAAUGAAGUAACACAGGAUAUAAUUGGAGAUGGAGAUGCUUCAAUUCUUUUCUCCAUUGUUCCAAAUACUGGUAGUUUACGCAUUAAUAACAACUUUGGUCUUGAAACAAAUGAAGUUUAUUAUAUACGUGUUAGAUGUCAGGAUAAUGGAAGUCCCCGAUUGUCAACCACAACAGUAGUAACUGUUAAUGUCGAAAGAAAUUUGUAUGCACCAUCUUUCAUAAACCCCUCUUAUUCCACAUCUAUACCUGAAACUACGACACCUGGUAGUGUUAUACUUACUGUUUCUGCUACUGAUUUGGAUUCUCCAGGAAUAUUCAAAGAUGUAAACUAUUUCUUUACAACUAAUGUGGAUAGAUUUGCCAUCAACCCAACCAAUGGACAAAUUACUGUUCGAAGAAAUCUGUAUGGAGAAACACAAACUCAA